UCCUCAGUUAAACGAAACAUUUAGUUCAGUCCCUUCAUGAGAGUGUCGUGAACCAACAGAUUCGAUGGCACAACGUUCAGCUCGUGAUUCUCAGAUAUUCAUAAUCGGAUGCGGCAUCUCAGGAAUUGGUGCAGCUCAGAAAUUACUUAAACAUGGUGUGUACGUAACGUGAUGUGUACAUAAUGUACACAUCAUAGAAGCGACUGCGAGAAGCUGGGGGAGAAUACGAACGGGCAGACUGGGUGAUAACAUUGCAGAGAUCGGCGCCAACUGGAUCCAUGGCCCACCAAAGGAAAACCCAGUGUUUCGUUUGGCAUGUGAAUACCAGCUUCUUGACAAAAAGUCAAUGUCUGAAGAAAAUCAGGCCAUUGUUUGUUCCUAACUGGUUUACCAGUUCAGGUCGGAAACUGAGGCCUGAGAAACUGAGGCCAGUGGUGGAGUUUUUUAUAAACUUAUUGAAAAGGAGUCAACAGUUCCAUGACAGCGGUGGAGAACCUCUGCCGAGUGUUGGGGAGUUUGUCAAGGCAGAGGUUGAACGACUGGCCCCAGAAGAGUGGAAGGAGGACCAGGCUAACACUGCAUUAAGACUGGGCAUGAUAAACACACUGCUGAAGCUGGAGUGCUGUGUCAGUGGAACCCACACGAUGGAUGAUGUAGGCCUGAUAGGCCUGAUGUAAGCCAGUAUAAUGGCUUACAAUUAUACUGCAUGACUGCAUUAAAAUGCCAUCCAAUUUAAUCACAUUCAGCAAAUGUUGAUUUGUGGGUAUCUAAAAAUUUCAAAUAAUGCCUGUACUUUGCACAAAUUUUAAUUGUUUUUUUUUGGUGACCUUAAAAUAUUUUUGUAUUAAACACCUUAUACUUUAU